rnacentral:rRNA from 1 species
CUCGUAGGUGGCCAACUAAGUCAUACGUGAAAUCCCUCAGCUUAACUGGGGAACUGCGUCUGAUACUGGAUGGCUUGAGAUUGGGAGAGGGAUGCGGAAUUCCAGGUGUAGCGGUGAAAUGCGUAGAUAUCUGGAGGAACACCGGUGGCGAAGGCGGCAUCCUGGACCAACACUGACACUGAGGAGCGAAAGCCAGGGGAGCAAACGGGAUUAGAUACCCCGGUAGUCCUGGCCCUAAACGAUGAAUGCUUGGUGUGGCGGGUAUCGAUCCCUGCCGUGCCGAAGCUAACGCAUUAAGCAUUCCGCCUGGGGAGUACGGUCGCAAGGCUGAA